UGUUAAUGUUUCCAAUGUUUGUGUGGUUGUAGGUGGUCCACAAGCUGCAUGUAUGGGCUGUGCUGGCUUUGCCGCAUUCUCAGUCGUCAUAGAGAAGUUUCUAGAGAGGCAUCAAUAAGUGAAUUAACUUGGAUCAAUUUUGUAUUCUUCGAUCAUAGUUUAAGUUCUUGAUCAAAAUAUUUUGCCCAUACGAUAGAGGGACGUGAUAGGGAGCAAGACAAAUUGCAAUAUUAUUUCACAUCUGUAAUUUAUUUGUAUACAAUGUCAUUGGCGGAUGCAUUCUCCGAACUUGGGAAAGCUCUGUGAUGACAUGGUUUAGUAUUGGAAAAUGCCAAGCAUUACGAAAACCAUAGGGAGCAAUAAUUGUGAUGAACUCUUUAAAGUGCUUAGCACUCCUGUUUAGUGGUAAUAGUUAAUUUCAAUAGAUUUUUCUUUGUAAUUCAUUCUUUUUUUUUGGAAUAUUUAUGGAGUGUUCCUAGGCUUCUUAAAAUCCACCAUUGUUUUCCUUUUUAAAGAGAUAGAAUAUGCUGACAAAUAUAUGCUGAGUUCCGUUAUCUAAUUGUGCUUCUGUAACUACCACAACAAAAAAAAUAUGUUUUUCUAUCUUUAAAAAUGAAACAGUCAUGUUCUUGUGAAAAAAGAGAUAUUCCAAAUUUUGUCCUGAAAUGAUGUCAUACAGUGCAAACGUUACCACGGAAAAGAUAUCCCAACAUGUUUGUAUAGUUAUAUAAAGAUUUUUUCAAUAUAAGCCACACGAUGUAGAUAAUUAAAUUAGCCUAAGCAAUAAUGCAAUAGAAUAUUCACACAAUGGAUUCUUAUAAAACAACAUACACAGAUGAACAUAAAUUCAAACAUGUAACUUACUUUCAAAAUAUUGGAACUAAGCUUUCAACAUAAUCUAUGGCAUCGUCCCAAUAUGCAUUAUCUCUAGUUCUAUUAUCGGUAACAGGUCUACAUACAAUAAUUUAUGUUCGCUUAGUUCUGUUAUCUCUCCUAUUAUAGAGAAUUGUUUCAGAUUCUUCAAUUGAAUGAUACAACAUUUAAACAAACUUUUCAACAAACAGUUGAUAUGCAUGAAAAUAAGUCCCCAUUGGUUUUAGGUAUUUGACAUUGUGGAUUAUUAUUGUAUAUUGAAAACAUAGGAGCAAAAUAAAAGAGUAAUAAAUCAAAGCAAAAGAGAUUUGAACGAAGUUUUAGGGUUACUAACCAGAGGGGAGUCACAGCCGGAGAGAGGCGUAGUGAUUCUGAAUUUGAAGUAGCGCAAUACACAUGGUUUUCAGAUACAAAAUGCCAAGUUUUNAGAGAGAGAGAGAGAGAGAGAGAGAGAGAGAGAGAGAGAGAGAGAGGAAAAAAAUCAUUUGAGUUACUACAAACUAUGAAUACGGUGUUUGAUCACUUGAUUUUAAAAUCUUUGAACAAAAUAGUUAGGAUAACUUUUCGCUCAAUAACUCUCUUCAAUGGUUAUUCUCCCUAUAGAUGAGUAUAACCAUUGAAGGUUUAAGAAUUUCAAUGUAAGUAACAAUUAUAUAAUUAGUUUUAUGCCUAAACCUAAUCAAUAAUUGAACGGUUAAAAUAGGGUAAAUCUCAAAAUUAGGUUCAAAAAUCCUUGUUGAUCUAAAAUUGUAUUAUGGACAAAGUUAAGGUUAAUAAUCAUUAAACACGUAAAAAGCAUUAAGAAUAAGAUUAACCGAAUAAAAUAACUAAGUAAUUGACUAGAAUUCAAAGCAUCUUUUAAAGCUACGUGAACAAAUAAUUAAGAAAAGUUCCUCUUCCAUGACUUAACCUAGCAAGGAUUUAUCUACUAUAUAUAUAUAUAUAUAUAUAUAUAUAUAUAUAUAUAUAUAUAGUAGAUAAAAUAACACACAAAUACAAAUAAAAUAACACAGAAAAGGAUCAUCUGUUGAUGAUUCCUUGGCUCCCGAAUUGUUCCGGUCGCUUCAAUCCUUCGGAAAUCGUGUUUCUACCUUUGUAUGCUCGUCAAAAGGUGUUUUUCCAGUAACCUAUGGGUUCACUUUUUUAUAGGCAUCAAAUUUCCCAAGUUUUAGGGAAAUUGGUUCCCGAUACAAGUAUAUUCCUCGCGAUAUGAGGCAGCCAAUGAGCAUCCCUUUUUGGCAUGUCACUCUAUAUCGCGAUGUGGGGCUCACAACCCGCGAUGCGAGAUAGACAAUAGCGAUCAUCUUGGUUUCCAAUCGUAUUCGCGCGAUACGGGGCUCAUAGCUCGCGAUGCGAGUUAGGCAGAAGUUGAUUCCUUGGUUUCUUUAUUUCUUGCUUCAUUUCUUCUUGCCAAAACGUCGCUAACGAAUAUACCUCAAACUUAAUCAACGAUAAACUUAUAAUUUUAUUUUUAUCCUACUAAGUUAUAAUUUCUAAAUUGGUCCCCCAAACUUGAUUUCGGGCUCCGUUCCUAAAUUGCUGGAUUGCAUGAGCAUGGUCCAUGCCGCAGUAGAACCUCAUCAAGGCCAGUGUUCUUUUUUCCCUUAUAUUAGUAACAAACAAAUAGUGUGAACACAUUGCAUAAAUAGGAUAUGCUUGAUAGUUAAUUCCACCUUCUCAUUCUACACAAAGUAUGAAAAGAACCAAUUGAACUUGAGAUGCCGUUUACGUUCAUUUCCAAUUUCCAUCUAUUUUAUUAUUAAACAGGAAUGGCAACUUCCAAGUGCUUGAAAGUCCAUCACCUAAAAUUGACAAUUGUUAUCAGUCACUUUUUUUAAUAAUAUUUGUGACUCCACACAUGUACCUUUGUAAUAUAUACAAUUUAUAUCAUUUCAAUAUUAAUAGUCUGUGUCGUACACGGGACAUUAGACUGGUAAUAUUAUAUAAUUUAAAUCUUCGUUUUUUAUUUUGAAAUUAAAUCAUCUUUGAAAUUUAUAACUCGCAAAAACUUGUAAAACAUAAGUUUUAUGAUGAUAUAAUUAAAAGUGAUAUAAGAAUUAAAACAUAACCAGUAAAAAUUAAUUUGAUUCAUAUUUUUUUCUUAGGGAUGAUCAAAACUCAUCUUAAAUUGGAUUUCUCGGAAACAUAAUAUUAGAGGUACGAAUAUGUUAAAAAUAGUGUCAAAUAAUGAAUAUACAUCCUUGUACCUAAAUAAUACUCCUAAGUAGAUAUAUGAAAACAUAUACUCCCUCCGUUUUUAAAUAUAAGCAAAAUUGACUUUUUAGAUUCAUUAAAUUAAUGAUGUAUAUAGUCCAUAAUAUAAACCACAUACAUCAUUAAUUAAAUGAACCUAAAAAAUCACUUUUACUUAUAUUUAAAAACGGAUGGAGUAUAGAGUAAUGAAUAUAAUUAACUAAAAAAAUUAUGAGUAUACAUCCUCCAUCAUAAAAGAAUGAAUAUACACCAUAGCUUCGAAUUAAAAUUAAUGCUUGAGAAAAAAUCAAUUUUAAACUUCGUAUAUAAUCUAUAAAAACAAGAUUUCUUAUAUCUAUCCAAACUUUUUCUUAUAUAAAAUCAAACUUUUAUUUUGACAAAAGAAAAAAAUCAAACUUAAGAAUGGGUACUCCCCCUAAUAUACACCCAUCGUUUCGUGAUACACACACUAAAUACUAAUUGAAAAAUAUAUAAUUUUAUAUAUAAAAUUUAUCCUCAUGAGAAAAUUUCAAUUAAAAUAUGUUGCUCCAUAAUAGUUAGACAGUGACGUAAAUACAUUUGAACCAAAUUAAUUUUUUUUAACCAAGGAUGCACGCAACUUAGGAGAUUGAUCCUCACAUAUUUACUUAAGCUAUUAAUCUCUUCUAACAUAUAUGUUUUCAUAUACACAAGUCAGAGAACGAACUUUAUACACACACAAAAAAAAAAUUGUAUAUGUAUGUUGAGAACAAACUCACAACGUCCAAAUUAAUAGCAUAUAAUGACAAAAUGACUACAAAAAAUAUGAUGAAAUCUAAAUCAUCAUAAUAUUCAUGCUUCCGGAUCUGCAACGUUGGCGUCCAAAUCAUUGAUUGAAUCUGUGAUUGACUGAAGCUAAUCUUUCAAUAUGAAUCAAACAAACACUGCAACAAAAUGUGAAAUCAAACAAUGCCGCACAAGACGACGAACAACACAACGCCGCACUCGGACGACGAAAUCACGAAACAAAACACAAAAAAAACACUUGAUAUAUGUGGAAAUCACUUAUUUAGAUUGAAAGAAAAUGGAAAAAAGGAUGCACAGGGUGAUUCUAGGUCAAAAAAUGAUCUAAAACCACCCCUCCUCGACGAGUGAAAGAGAAAUAAAACUUAAAGAAGUUAGAGUUUCUCUCACUAAAAAACUAGGGUCGGCUCGCAAACAAAUUACACUCUUAAAAUAAAUAGAAAUUUUAAAACUGAUCAUUGAAUGUAUAUUUUUUUACAAUCAUAACCCUUUUACUUUUUACAACAAAUUAAACAAAUAAAUUUAAAAUAAUAAUAUCAAGCUAUCAUUGUCUUGUGUAGGGGUGACCCAAUAAGAUUACAUUUUUAAUUAAUCUUGGAAGGCAUGAAACACCAUGCUUUUCUAUUGACCAUUAGAGAUUUCAGAAAGCAACCGUUAUUAUCUCAAAUAACAUUCGAACAAUAAUUGCAUGUUUUUCCAAGCCCAUGCAACAACUAUAAAUAGUUAAAGCUUUCUCUCAUUUUUCCACAAGCAAAACACAAAUCGUUUAUUCCAUUCUAUCUUUCAUUCUCUCAAACUUCUACUAAAAUUACUUCAAUUCAAUCCAAUGGCAUCUUUCCAAUCCUUCAACUUUGAAACUGAAAUUCCACAAGAGCUUCUCAUAUCUCAAAUCAUGCAAAUUCAUACAACCAUUUCUAAGCUAGAAUCUCUUAGGCCUUCAAAACAAGUCAACACCCUUUUGACUCACUUAGUCAAACUUUGCAUCCUCCCUUCAUCCAUUGAGAUUGAAGCCUUGCCACAAGAGGUUAAGACAAUGCGUGAAAGCCUCAUUCCCAUUUGUGGCAAAGCUGAAGGACUUUUGGAGCUUGAAUUCUCAACUUUCAUUAGCCAAACACCAAAUCCAGCAAAAAAUUUAACACUUUUCCCUUACUAUGGAAACUAUGUUAAACUAGCAAACUAUGAAAACAAAAUCCUCAAAGAAAAUGGUGUAGUGGAUGCAAAAAAAGUAGCUUUUAUAGGAUCUGGUCCAAUGCCACUAAGUUCAAUUAUAUUGGCAACUCAUCACAUGGAAUCAACUCACUUUGAUAAUUUUGAUAUCGAUGAGAAAGCUAAUGAGGUUGCUAGCAAGAUCGUGGCUUCGGAUAAAGCACUUGAAAAGAGGAUGAAAUUUGUGACACAAGAUAUAAUGGAAGCUAAGGAGAGGUUAGGGCAAUAUGAUUGCAUUUUUUUGGCAGCACUUGUUGGUAUGCGUAGAAGUGAAAAAGUGAAGAUUUUGGGACAUAUAAGUAAGUAUAUGAAGGAAGGUAGUGUUUUGCUUGUAAGAAGUGCAAAAGGGAGUAGAGCUUUUUUGUAUCCUAUUGUUGAGGAGAAUGAUAUGGUAAAUUUUGAGGUGCUUACAAUUUUUCAUCCAACGGAUGAUGUUAUCAACUCGGUUAUUCUUCUUCGCAAACCUAAAGCUUGAUCAAUAAGCUAAGUUACCAAAUAAGUUGAAUUUCUACUUGAAGAAGAAUCUAUUUAUAGUGUAGAUUCAAAUGUGUGUUGUUCUUUUGAUUGAAAGUGUUUCUUUUCCUAUGAUAUACUUUGUAUAAUUAGUGAGGUUUAGUGUUAUGUUCUAGUGCUUGCCUCAUUCGUCUUACUUUAUAAGAUGAUUGAAGAUUAUGUAUCGUAAUUCCAAAUAAUAAAUGAACAAGCUUUGUGUUUAUUUUUUAAUUGUUUUACUUUUUUUUAGAAAAGAAGGUGCUAAUCCCCAAAGACUACAAUGGAACAAACCUGAGAGAUUUGAUUCAAAGGUUGAUCAAAAACCUUCAUCGAAGUAACUUCACACGUCAUAAGCAUCUGCUACCUUGUUUGCUUGACAAUACAUAUAGCAAAUACUUGAUGGGAUAAAACCACAAGUGCACGGUUCUACUGAAGUAGUAAAAAUAGAGUAUCGUUUCGAUAGGGAGUUGUUCAAUUCAAUUAACUUUAGUUGAUGAUUAGAAAAGGUUAAGUUGCAAAGUUGGGGUUUUCAAACGGUUAAAAGAAAAUAUAAUAAUAAAAAAGAGCCUUGGGAUUAUUGGUUCAUCAUAAUGACAAACCCUUCACAAACCAAAACCUUAAACCUAUAACUUUAUGUUAGACCUACUUUCUAAUGACAAAUUUCUCUUUAGUCUAUCACAUCUCCUUUCGGUCUCGGUGAGUGUGUUUCUCUAGCAACCACGACUAUUUUCAUGGUUGAUUGCUAUUGAAAUCCUUCAAGCUCGAAACUUUAUUGUCUCAAGGUUUGCUAGACUAUUUUAAUGUUUUGCAAUCCUUAUCUAUAUUCACUUGUUCCAAUAUUAAAACUUCAUCUUUCGAUCAUUCGCUUAAUAUUUGUGAUAAAUCAAUAACAACUAUUAAACUUCAUCUUUCAAUCCUUCGAUUAAUACUUGUUAUUGAUUAUAAGAACGGUGAAAUAGAUUAGAAAUCAAGGUUACAUAAAAUUAGGGAUUAAAGCUUGGUUUGAUUAGGAUUAUGUCAUUAGACUUAUCCAACAAUCUCAAGACAAGAAGAGUCUACUCACUCAUGUUCAUCGUAGACAUUGAGAAGAAGAAGAAGAAAAGCAUAAAGUAAAUAACAAAGAAAUAAAGAAAUAACUUUUAUUAAGAAAGACAAUUGUCACUGAUUGAAUUCCAAGAACAAAAAAUGAAUUGUUGUGAUAGCUCGCUACUCUAUUUAGUCUUAUGUCGACUUAAAACCUAAGGAACUAUUCACUAGAAUGUUCAACAAGAAACCACAGACUUUUAGGUCAAAAUAGGUAGCUUGUUUCCGAAGCAAAAGCAGCAAAAGAGCACCCUGAAGCUUGGCACGGGCCGUGCUGCUGGUGGCACGGGCCGUGCCUCCUCGCUGACCUGGGGAGUGACAUAUUUUUGUCCCAUAUUUCAUAUUUUCAUCCUGAAUCAACUUCUAAUCCUCUUUCUUUUGCUCUAAGACUCAAUCUAUCAAACAUUCGUUCCUGAAAUAUAAUAAUUUGCAAUUGAAGUAAAAUAGUUCUAAAAGGAAAUAAUAUUUAAAUAAAAUAAACUUAAAUCUAAGUAAAACGGAAUCAAAUAUUAUAUUAAAACUACUAAUUAUUGACUCAUCAAUACUCAUCCUCAAAUAUCUUUAAGGAAACAUUUUGAUUUCUUUGAAUCAAAUUAAAACCAAAUCCACCGCUAUUUUAUCCUGUUCAAGGUAUUAACACCCGCUUGAGGGUCAAUUCGAAGCUCAAUCAUCCAGAAACCCUGCACUUUGUGUAAUUUAAGUGUUAAUAGAAAGGAUGUCUUAAUGCCACAUAAAUGACAAUUUAUAAAUGUAAAUAAAGGACAAAAGGCAUAGAACUUGCAAAAGAAAUAAUAAUUUCAAAACAUGAAUAAAAAGAGGAACCAAAUUAUAUACUAAAAAUUAGUAGCAUGCUGAGCAAGUUUGUCAAAUAUAUAUAAUAUUUUAUAUAUAGAUUUUUUCAAUAUAAGCCAGACGAUGUAGAUAAUUAAAUUAGCCUAAGCAAUAAUGCAAUAGAAUAUUCACACAAUGGAUUCUUAUAAAACAACAUACACAGAUGAACAUAAAUUCAAACAUGUAACUUACUUUCAAAAUAUUGGAACUAAGCUUUCAACAUAAUCUAUGACAUCGUCCCAAUAUGCAUUAUCUCUAGUUCUAUUAUCGGUAACAGGUCUACAUACAAUAAUUUAUGUUCGCUUAGUUCUGUUAUCUCUCCUAUUAUAGAGAAUUGUUUCAGAUUCUUCAAUUGAAUGAUACAACAUUUAAACAAACUUUUCAACAAACAGUUGAUAUGCAUGAAAAUAAGUCCCCAUUGGUUUUAGGUAUUUGACAUUGUGGAUUAUUAUUGUAUAUUGAAAACAUAGGAGCAAAAUAAAAGAGUAAUAAAUCAAAGCAAAAGAGAUUUGAACGAAGUUUUAGGGUUACUAACCAGAGGGGAGUCACAGCCGGAGAGAGGCGUAGUGAUUCUGAAUUUGAAGUAGCGCAAUACACAUGGUUUUCAGAUACAAAAUGCCAAGUUUUUAACAAGUUUGAAGUAAUCAAAUUCUAUGUAUCUAAUCUAGUAAAUUUUUCGAGUUAAAAUCACUGGUCCCACCAAAAUAUUUGCCAAUCCUCCCAAUCUUACAAUUAAGAUUGUUGAUCCCACACAAUCCUACCAGAUUGCGGUUCUGUCUGUUAUUGGGAUAAUCCAAGUCGUCAAGGAUCUUACUUAUGAGUAAGAUCAUGAGUUUGACUACCUUGCCAAAUAAUUGUAACGUAUAAUUAUAACCCCAAUGUUUCUCAAAAUUAAAGUGUUUGUCAUGGUGUGGGGAUUUCUUCAUAUGGUUUUUGGGAUGGUUAGAAAUUUAGACUGAAUAAUAUUUAUAGGAGUAUCUUAGGCGGGUGCAAAGCUUGAUUUUGUCUCUUUUAGGAGACAUCUUUGUUGGGCAUAAAAUGCAUGGCAACAAAGGAUGCAUUUCGACAUCAUUGUCUUUGUAGUGCAUACUCAAGGAGAUAGUAAGUAAUGGUGAUGGAGUGCAUGCACACAAGCAUUGGUACUCAUGAGCCAGGCUCGCUUGUAUGCCUCUGGAAGAGAGAAUGCUACUCACGGCUUUUAAAGAGUCAACGUUGAACUGCAUUCUCAACAGGGACUCCUUACUAAGGUGUUACUGAAAACCUUGAUGUAGUAUCCUAGUAUUGAGAGCCAACAAAUCCAUUGAAAUGGUAGUGCCUUAGUUUUGGAGAAUGGACUAUUUCUCUAAUUCUCUAUUGAGUGUGGUACAAAGGGAGUCUGGUGUGAAUGAAGAGCACAAAGUGAUGUUCAUCAAGUGCACUUCUAGAGGGUUGCUGUCUUUGUGGUGGCUUAGCAACAUUUAUCUUGAUAUACUUCACCCAAAACAGAAGUUAUUGUUAGAAUUAUUUUGUUUAUCCCUUUUCAAAGUUGUUUUCUAUUUAAAUAUAACUUAGUGAUGUUGAUGUAAACCAAAAAUCAGAAUAGACAAUUGUAACCGCAAGUUCUCAAAUCAUGGGGUUCUGACAGUGGCCCAAUAUGGAUGUAGUGCUCAAUAUAAGAUAUGUAAUUUUAGUUUUAGGUUUCUUGUUAUUUUUUAUUCAUAUCUUCUCUCAUUGCAGAAGAAAGUUGUGCAUUGUAGGCUGUUUAGAUGAAACGCAAAUUGAUGUAAAAGAAGAGAAAAGAAACAGUAAUCAGGCCAGAUAAGGAACUGGAAAAUGAAGAAUUGAAACCCUCAAUGUUGCUUGUUUUAUAAACCUGUUCUCUACCUGUGUUUCGUAAUGACAUUUGUUAAUGUUUCCAAUGUUUGUGUGGUUGUAGGUGGUCCACAAGCUGCAUGUAUGGGCUGUGCUGGCUUUGCCGCAUUCUCAGUCGUCAUAGAGAAGUUUCUAGAGAGGCAUCAAUAAGUGAAUUAACUUGGAUCAAUUUUGUAUUCUUCGAUCAUAGUUUAAGUUCUUGAUCAAAAUAUUUUGCCCAUACGAUAGAGGGACGUGAUAGGGAGCAAGACAAAUUGCAAUAUUAUUUCACAUCUGUAAUUUAUUUGUAUACAAUGUCAUUGGCGGAUGCAUUCUCCGAACUUGGGAAAGCUCUGUGAUGACAUGGUUUAGUAUUGGAAAAUGCCAAGCAUUACGAAAACCAUAGGGAGCAAUAAUUGUGAUGAACUCUUUAAAGUGCUUAGCACUCCUGUUUAGUGGUAAUAGUUAAUUUCAAUAGAUUUUUCUUUGUAAUUCAUUCUUUUUU
rnacentral:lncRNA from 1 species